CGUAGCGUUGCACCUUCUCGUAUGAGGACAACUAACGACUGUGUUAAGUGACAGGAGGGAAAAAGCAGCGUGGACAAGUUAAUGACAGACAAAGCUGCAGGCAAAAUUCCAGUGAUAUACAUGUUUCCUGGUAAAGAGAUGAAUUUCGCGCAAAGCUACUGCGCCUUGAACUGAUAGACUACAGGGAAGGAAGCUAGUCAACACCACCCACCGCCUACUCUUGAGCCACUUUUUACCAACGAAUAGUUAAAUUGACCAUCACGUUAAAACUCUCCCACGACUGAAAGGGCGAGCAUGUUGGAUGACAGGAUUCGAUCCCGCAACCUACAGAUUACGAGCUUAAAAAUCUCAUUCUACAUUCUAAGUGACAUUUGAAGUCGCAAAACCUGAUGAAUGUCAACCAAGUCAUAUGAUAAGAA